rnacentral:rRNA from 1 species
GAUGAACGCUAGCUACAGGCUUAACACAUGCAAGUCGAGGGGAAACGAUAUUGGAAGCUUGCUUCCGAUAGGCGUCGACCGGCGCACGGGUGAGUAACGCGUAUCCAACCUGCCCACCACUUGGGGAUAACCUUGCGAAAGUAAGACUAAUACCCAAUGACGUCCAUAGAAGACAUCUGAAAUGGAUUAAAGAUUUAUCGGUGAUGGAUGGGGAUGCGUCUGAUUAGCUUGUUGGCGGGGUAACGGCCCACCAAGGCGACGAUCAGUAGGGGGUCUGAGAGGAAGGUCCCCCACAUUUGAACUGAGACACGGUCCAAACUCCUACGGGAGGCAGCAGUGAGGAAUAUUGGUCAAUGGGCGAGAGCCUGAACCAGCCAAGUAGCGUGCAGGAUGACGGCCCUAUGGGUUGUAAACUGCUUUUAUAAGGGAAUAAAGUGAGCCUCGUGAGGCUUUUUGCAUGUACCUUAUGAAUAAGGACCGACUAAUUCCGUGCCAGCCGCCGCGGUAA